UACGUAGGCGGAAAAUUAAGUCAGUAGUGAAAUCCCGCAGCUUAACUGUGGAACUGUUAUUGAUACUGGUUUUCUUGAAUAUAGUUGAGGUAGGCGGAAUGUGUAAUGUAGCGGUGAAAUGCUUAGAUAUUACACAGAACACCGAUUGCGAAGGCAGCUUACUAAGCUAUGAUUGACGCUGAGGUACGAAAGCGUGGGGAGCGAACAGGAUUAGAUACCCCUGGUAGUCC
rnacentral:rRNA from 1 species